GAUGAACGCUGGCGGCGUGCCUAAUACAUGCAAGUCGAACGAACAGACGAGGUGGUUGCUCCUCGGACGUUAGCGGCGGACGUGAGAGUAACACGUGGAUAACCUACCUAUAAGACUGCUAUAACUUCGGGAAACCGGAGCUAAUACCGGAUACUAUAUUGAACCGCAUGGUUCAAUAGUUAAAGACGGUUUUGCUGUCACUUAUACAUGGAUCCGCGCCGCAUGAGCUAGUUGGUAAGGUAACGGCUUACGAAGGCGACGAUGCGUAGCCGACCUGAGAGCGGGAUCGGCGACACUGGGACCGAGCCGCGGUCCUGGCUCCGACGGGAGGCAGAAGUAGCGAAUCUACCGAGAUGGGCGGAAGCCUGAAGGAGCAACGCCGGGCGAGUGAUGAAGGUCCUCGGAUCGUAAGACUGUGUUAGUAGGGAAGAACAAAUGUGUAAGUAACUAUGCUCGUCUUGACGGUACCUAAACAGAAAGCAACGGCUAACUACGUG
rnacentral:rRNA from 1 species